rnacentral:lncRNA from 1 species
AGUGGAGGACACACUUUAAACUUCAUGGAAGAGGGAAGGGGAGAUGGUGCGAUGCAGAGUGAGGCUCAGAGAACAUCAGGAUGAUGUUGAAUUGACCAAUAGCAGUGGAAAGGGGGAGAUGAGCGGCGUGUACUCGGACACCGCACAUCAGCAUUGUGGACGACCCGCACCGUUACUCACCUUGACUCCUCACACUCACAGAAAGGAUCUGCUGUGAGAAAACGAUGGAAAAAUGAGGGCGAGACAGAAGUUACACAAAACAGCUUAAGAAGCUAUUAAUUGCUCAUCCAGGAAAUCAGAAAAGCGCAAACGUUUCUCUAGACUGUUAACAGCCUCGGAGCCUCCGCCAAAAUGCAGACUAAUAAUUUCACUUUACUUUCACUCGUUUUACUUUUUCUCCUCGAUGGUAUGAAUGAAAUCGAGGGUGUUUUAGAGAGUCCUGAAAUCAGCGUGAAUCCAUCUUCAGUGUCUGAGGGACAGUCUCUCAGGGUCACCUGUGAGGCCCCUUCAUAUCAAAGAAGUUUCCAGUGGUUUCUGUACAGAAACACAGAGGACAGUCCCUUCAUGAAAGGCACAGACUCUGGGAGUAUGUGUGACUUCACAGUCACUGGGACAAAGCUUCUUCAGGGAAAAACAUCCAAUGGAAUUUACACUGCUGUGGAGCUCAGCUGUGAGUACAGGGAUGGAGCCACUAGCUCUCAGAGGAGUAAAAGGAUGGAAGUCAAAGUGCUGGGUUCAUUGCAACCUCCCCAUCUGAAUGUCAGCUCCACUAACACCACAAAGACAGACUCAGUGCAGCUGAGCUGUGAGACUCCUCAGUCUGUCUCAGUGUCUCGUUGUCAGUUCCUGUCGGAUGGACAAACUGUCGGGGAGACGUCUUCACCCUGUCGGCGCUCCAUCACCGGGACUCAGCUGCUCAGGGGGACGAUCCACUCUGGCGACGCUCAGAUUGUAGUUCAGUGUCUGUACACUGCGGACAUAAAUGGGAUUAAUAUACCAUCACCAUCACCGCGCAGUAACAGUAUCACAGUGACAGUGACGGGGUUCCCGAUGAACUCCACAUCCGAUCCAGUGUCCACAACAAAUCUGACAGCUGUGAUCAAUGUGAGCAGCACAUUACUGCCUGAAAAUAGCUUUGUCGGUGUUACCUGUGCUGCUCCACGCACGGUGCGAGAGGCCACCUGGAGGCUCUACAGAGACGCACAUACAUCUCCGGUCCUCACACGGACUGGGAAGGGGAAUCUAUUUCGGUUCUCAGUGACUAGGAGGAACCUUCUUCAGGGAGAAACACACACUGAUGCGUACACUGUUGUACAGCUGAGCUGUGAAUACACUGAUAGCGACUCAAACACCGUCUCUCAGCGGAGCAGCAGGCGGCAGAUGAUGGUCCUGGGUAAGACGGGA